CUGAGCAGUAGCUUCUGCAAUUAGUGCCCACAUUUUAUUUGUGAUAGGAAUCACUCUUAAUUAGAUUAACUUGUACCAUGUCUGAGUCUGGAAUUCUGUCAUUUUCUGUUGUGUCAUAUGCUCUGGACAAUGCAUCUGCAAUAAAUAGAUGUUUCCUGGCAUGUACUUUCUAUCUUGGUCAGAGGUGGG